UACGUAGGGGGCAAGCGUUGUCCGGAAUUAUUGGGCGUAAAGCGCGCGCAGGCGGCCUUGUAAGUCUGUCGUUUAAACUCGGAGCUCAACUUCGAGUCGCGAUGGAAACUGCAAAGCUUGAGUGCAGAAGAGGAAAGUGGAAUUCCACGUGUAGCGGUGAAAUGCGUAGAGAUGUGGAGGAACACCAGUGGCGAAGGCGACUUUCUGGGCUGUAACUGACGCUGAGGCGCGAAAGCGUGGGGAGCGAACAGG
rnacentral:rRNA from 1 species